rnacentral:tRNA from 1 species
GCCUGAGUGGCUCAGUCAGUUAAGCAUCUGACUUCAGCUCAGGUCAUGAUCUUGCAGUUCAUGAGUUAAAACCCCAUAUCGGGCU